rnacentral:rRNA from 1 species
CAGUCGCCGCGGUAAUACGAAGGGUGCAAGCGUUACUCGGAAUUACUGGGCGUAAAGCGUGCGUAGGUGGUGGUUUAAGUCCGUUGUGAAAGCCCUGGGCUCAACCUGGGAAUUGCAGUGGAUACUGGGUCACUAGAGUGUGGUAGAGGAUAGUGGAAUUUCCGGUGUAGCAGUGAAAUGCGUAGAGAUCGGAAGGAACAUCUGUGGCGAAGGCGACUAUCUGGGCCAACACUGACACUGAGGCACGAAAGCGUGGGGAGCAAACAGGAUUAGAGACCCCGGUAGUCCCUGUCUCUUAUAA